rnacentral:tRNA from 1 species
GGGCGGAUGUAGCCAAGUGGAUUAAGGCGGUGGAUUGUGAAUCCACCAUGCGC